rnacentral:rRNA from 1 species
GAUGAACGCUGGCGGCGUGCCUAAUACAUGCAAGUCGAGCGAACAGACGAGGAGCUUGCUCCUCUGACGUUAGCGGCGGACGGGUGAGUAACACGUGGAUAACCUACCUAUAAGACUGGGAUAACUUCGGGAAACCGGAGCUAAUACCGGAUAAUAUAUUGAACCGCAUGGUUCAAUAGUGAAAGACGGUUUUGCUGUCACUUAUAGAUGGAUCCGCGCCGCAUUAGCUAGUUGGUAAGGUAACGGCUUACCAAGGCAACGAUGCGUAGCCGACCUGAGAGGGUGAUCGGCCACCCUGGAACUGAGACACGGUCCAGACUCCCACGGGAGGCCACAGUAGGGAAUCUUCCGCAAUGGGCGAAAGCCUUACGGGGCAACGCCGGGGUAAGGAUGAAGGUUUUCGGAUCGGAAAACUCUGUUAUUAGGGAAGAACCAAUGUGUAAGUAACUAUGCACGUCUUGACGGUACCUUAUCAGAAAGCCACCGCUAACUACGUU